GGGUGGGAAGACAAAGUUUUGCAUUAGAUUGUAGCUCUAAUAUUGGGAUGUUAUAGAUUCCCCCCACUCA
rnacentral:tRNA from 1 species